rnacentral:rRNA from 1 species
GGAUUAGAUACCCUGGUAGUCCACGCUGUAAACGAUGGUCACUAGAUGUUCGGGAUUUCGGUUCUGAGUGUCCAAGGGAAACCGAUAAGUGACCCACCUGGGGAGUACGUCGGCAACGAUGAAACUCAAAGGAAUUGACGGGGGCCCGCACAAGCGGUGGAGCAUGUGGUUUAAUUCGAUGAUACGCGAGGAACCUUACCUGGGCUACAAUGCCUUGGCCAGCUGGUGAAAGCCGGUUUUCCUUCGGGACCAAGUGCAAGGUGCUGCAUGGUUGUCGUCAGCUCGUGCCG